CUCGUUUCAUUGGUUGUUCGGUGGAGCGGUGAAAACCCUAGAUCGGGAUUGGCCUCUCCUCCAAUCCCCGCCUCCUCUCCCCUCCCCAAUCAGACCCUUCUCACUUUCCGCGGGAGCCCGACGGUGGUGGCGGCUGGAAUGAAACGGGGCGGACCUCACCGCUCCUCUUCCUGCGCUGAGAAGCAGCGUGUGCGGCUCCGCCUCGUGCCUUGCAUCAGGAGACGGCACGGACAAGGGCGCCGCCGCUGGUAUAGCGCCAGGAGGUCACAGUCGCUGCCGGUCGUGGACGCCGCCGUGCCAAAAGCAGGAGAGCGCACGAAGGCGGGCGGCGGCGCGGAGAGUGGUGGCGGCGCGUGGCCUUGAGAAGCUCAUCCACAGCCGGUGGGGCUUGCGAUCUCCGGUCAAGGACGCCUCCCCCGCCUCGUCCUCCCCUGCCUCCGCACCCGGCGAGGACGACCCAACCACGAUGUAAGCCUUCGACCCUUCUUCCAUGGAGGCACCUCGAUCUAACGGCGCUAGAUCCACCCAGCCGCGGCUCAGGCUAUAUAUGAUUCGGUCGGGAAGGCCAGCCUAUCGCCGGUUCUGCCGCCGCUGAUGCCCAGGCCGCCUCGUGUAUUUUUCUUCUCCGGCGGUGGUUCCUCAUCUUGCUUCUCCCUCCUCUCUUUCUCUUCCUAUUCCUCUCUGUCUAUCUCACUCUUAUCUCCCACUCUCGUUGAUUUUAGGUACGGUUCUACUGUUAGAAUUUGUUAUCUUUCAUCUUCGAGAGAGAUUGGAGCCACCUCUUGCUCAUGUGCUCUAGAUCUCAUAUAUAUUUUGAUUCUGAAUCGAUUUGGCAUGUCUGUUGAUGCCGAUGAUGAUUUGAUGCUCGUUUUGCAUAUCUGACAUGGAUUUGAGCUCUCGCUGCAAACUAUGUCAGCUGGUCGGUGGCUGUUACUUGCCAUUGAGGUCCACAUGAUAGUGGAGUGAGAAGCAAGGUAUUAUGUGGAACCGUUGCUUAAUGAAAAUGGUAAAGAUUGGAGUUUGCUGCAUCUGUUUUGUUAGAUCUCAGGGAGGUGGAAGAUAUAGGAGAGGAGGUCUGACCAGACAAAUUAUUUGAGGUUGAAGAGAUGUUCAGUACCAUUAUAUGGGGUGAAUAAGUUGACUCAAUCAUCUCAGAACCAUUUAGUUCGUGGACCGCUGCUCCAGCAUUGAGUUAACAAAAUCCAUGGUGUGUGCACCUAUCUUGUGAUGUUGUCAGCGGCAGGGGUUGGUGUCU